UACGUAGGGGGCAAGCGUUGUCCGGAUUUAUUGGGCGUAAAGAGCGUGUAGGCGGUUUGGUAGGUCCGCUGUGAAAACUCGAGCUCAACCUCGAGACGCCGGUGGAAACCAUCAGACUAGAGUCCGGAAGAGGAGAGUGGAAUUCCUGGUGUAGCGGUGAAAUGCGCAGAUAUCAGGAGGAACACCGGUGGCGAAGGCGGGGUCUCUGGGGCCGAAAACUGACGCUGGAGGAGCGAAAGCGUGGGGAGCGAACAGG
rnacentral:rRNA from 1 species